rnacentral:rRNA from 1 species
CGAAAGCUCUUCCUCAGGAUUGUGAAUUCCAUCCGAGAGUUUGACAACUACUUCAAGUGCAAGAUGGAUUGCACUGGCGCUCUUGGAUUCACCUCCAUCCAGAAGUGCACGACAGCGAUGAGGAUGCUUGCAUAUGGAGCUCCCAGUGAUUCACUCGGCGACUAUGGGCGCAUGGCCGAGUCCACCAGCAUAGAGUGUUUCUACAAGUUCUGUCGGGCAGUGGUGGCAGUGUUUGGGCCACAAUACUUGAGAACACCCAAUACGGAAGACACUGCUCGGAUCCUAGCCCAGAAUGCAGCAAGAGGAUUUCCUGGGAUGCUUGGAAGCAUCGACUGCAUGCAUUGGAAAUGA